rnacentral:rRNA from 1 species
AUGGACGGUCUGUUCAGCUUCAGCACCAUAAAGGAGUUCGUGGGGUUUGGGUUCAAGAUCAUCAGCGCGCUGGACAAGGCCAGCCACAACGCGGAGGACUGCCGCACGAUCCACGCCUUCCUGCUCAACCUGAGCGCCAUCGCCGAUCGCCUGCAGGGGCUGCCCAAGAUCAUGGUGGACGACUUGAUGAGGGACACGGCGGAUGGCCUACAGAAGGCCCUCAAGCGCGCGUCCGAGUUUCUCGCCGAGUGCAAGCGCAAGGGGGUCCUGCGCCGUGCUUUUAACGCCAAAGACAUCGCCGAGAAGCUGCGCGGGGUCUGCCUCGAUGUGCUGCUCAACAUGAACGCCGUGCAGCUCAACAUGAACGCCGUGCAUCUUGCCAACGAUGACUUGAACAGCUCGAAGCUGGCCGAGCUUAAGGAAAUUGUGGCCAAGAUUCUGCAUAUUGUUGCUACACAGCCCGCUGUUCAUCUGCAAGAAGAGGUGAAAAAAUUGGUGAAGGACGACCAGAUCAGUUCUCAAAUUAAAAACAAAAGGGAGACAAAGAAAACAGAUGUACCUAGUUCUCAAAACAAAAACAAAGGGGAGGCAAAGGAAACAGAUGUUGCCAGGCCGGACGAUAAGAUUCAGAAUAACAAGAAACUAGGGCGUAGAAGGGUGGUGCCACAUGCUUCAUUACCAGAUGACUUAGCUGAGUCCGCUUCAGCGACCAGUGUGGUUGGACAAGAGGAUGGACCUAGUACUAUUAUUAUCAAUAAGGCAAGUAGCUCUAUCUCCGAGUCGGUGGACGAGGCACAGUCAGUGGGAGUUUCUGCAGCACCAUUCCAUCCGCAGAAAAUAAUCAGCAUAUCCAAGGAACCCGAAGAGACAGGCGGAUAUAAGAUAUACACCUGUUCCUCUGAGACUAGCAAGCUUCUUGAGGUCUACCCGCAGUGGCUUCUCUUCCCCUUGGAGCCAAAAAACAAGGAAACUACUGGAUCUGGAUGCCCAGUGACCCUAACCAACAAUACAAACGAUUACGUUGGCAUCUGGAUUAAACCAAUAAAUGGGAAAUUUAAGGAAACAGAGAUAAUGGAGCCCCAUUCGACUUUGGUUGUGUAUGUGACAAUGAAGAUGCAUGCACAACCUCCCAAAGACAAGGUUGAGUUUGAGGUGCUCAUGAUUAUCCUACGGUCAAAGCAAGACCAUGGAAAAUUGAAGUCAUUCAUUGUUGACAAGCUGAAUAUGGACAGUGGCUUUAUGGUGCAUGUUAAGAACCUUAAGGCAGAGGUGUAUCGGGCAAUGCUGACAGCUAUCACUUGUGACCCAGCAAGCUGCCAGAUCAUAUCAAGAUCAAUAGAGGAUACGACCUUGGUGACAUCCAUUGACGCGCACCCCACUAAGCCAUGGAUUGUGACGGGUCAUGAGGGAGGGAAUUUUUCCAUUUGGGACUACCAGAAGAAGGAAACUGUGAUGAAGUUGCAGGUCAAUGAGGUGCCAGACAAGGUUACACGCAUGAUACAUGGCGUCACUAAAUACAUCAAAGAGACGUCUCUUGGACAUCCGGUUUAUUCAGUCAAAUUUACCGCUGAAGGGAAACGGUUGGUAGUGGGGGAUGGUCGCGGAUACAUCUAUGUCUAUGAUUCCACCGACACUAAGCUGCAUGAGGUCGAGAAAUUCAGAGCUUAUGAUAAGAAAUCCGUGAACUCUCUGGCUGCUCACCCAACAAAGCCAUACCUUCUUCUUUCAUCAUCUUCUUUUAGUAGAAAUAUCAAGCUUUGGGACUCGAGCGAGAACUGGAAAUUUCAAAAUUUCAAAGUGAAACCUGAGAAUACAUAUUACGUUGGUGUGCACAGUGUCAAGUUUAAUCCAAGGGACACCAACACUUUUGCUUGUGUUACCGAUGAGGACAAAGUAAAGGUCUGGAACAUCAAAACUUCCAUUCUUGAAACCACACUGAAGGGGCCUUUCGUCAUGGCCGAUUAUUUCUUCAAUCGCGGUCAUCAGCACUUGAUGGUUACUUUGAAAUUUGACGCACACAACUCCGAGAUAUGGGAUUUGAAGACACGAAAAGUUGUUCACACUCUUAGCGUGAGUGGGCACAAAACGACCUGGGUUGCUUGCCACCCAAAGCUUCCAAUACUGGUUACAAUGUUAGAUGACGGGACUGUAUGUUUGUGGGAUGCCAGUACAUACAGGCUUGAGAAAAUGGUUCACAUUACCAACAGCAAGUGUCGUGAUUUGGUAUUUGUCCAAGACACAAAUGGCCGACCCAGGCUCGUUAUCGCAUUUGAGACAAUGAUAGCAAUCAUGAAAGUUAAUUUGCCAAUUGCGAAUACAAGCAAUGCAAGUGGAUGA